AUUCCCACGAGAGGUGCUGUGGAUGAGCUUGCCGGCCUGACCCUCCUCAGUCACGUGUCUUCUCUCACCGUGGGACCGCCCAUGUCCUUGUUCACGUGCGCCCAUCCCUGCGGUGGUAUCUGUCACAGGGUCCCCACCAGAGCCUGGAAAGCUGACAGGACACCAGGAAGUAGACUUUUCAAGGUGGGGGCGGGGUCAGAGAGGUGGAGAGAGGAGCGUGAAGGCACUGAAGAUGAUCUGGACGGUGUGCCAGUGUGCCGACUUCCCUCGGAAGCAUCCAAAAAAAAUAAAUGUCUCAUGUGACCCUCCAGAGCACCUCAGUGCGGCGAGGUAAAACUCCUUAGUUCCGUGAACCAGAUUAUUCACCCUGGAAAGACGUGCCCUUCUAACAAAUAACUGACUGCCUCAGUACUUUUCUCACCUCAUCACAGUGCACCUGCUGAGCUACUGCUGACCGGAAGGCACACUGCAUCAAGUGGAGCCAUCAAACCAUAAAGUCACCUCAGCUACAAGACAGCAUUAUUUAAAAAGAAAAAAACAAACAAACUCUUCCUGUGUGUGCGUGGCUGUGUUGAUCAGCUUUCUAUUGCUGUGACCAAACACCUAAAGUAACCAGCUUAAGGGCAUGAAAGGUUUAUUUCGGCUCACAGCCUCUGAGGUUCCAGUCCGUGAUCACCUGGCCCUGUUACCUGCAGCUGUGGCAGCACAGUACGUCAUUACUGCCCAGGGAGCACCGGACAGAGGAGGC
rnacentral:lncRNA from 1 species